rnacentral:rRNA from 1 species
GCUAGGGGGUCAUCCCGACUUACCAACCCUUUGCAAACUCCGAAUACCAGUAAGUACUAUCCGGGAGACACACGGCGGGUGCUAACGUCCGUCGUGGAGAGGGAAACAACCCAGACCGCCAGCUAAGGUCCCAAAUUACUACUAAGUGGGAAACGAUGUGGGAAGGCUCAGACAGCCAGGAUGUUGGCUUAGAAGCAGCCAUCAUUUAAAGAAAGCGUAAUAGCUCACUGGUCGAGUCGGCCUGCGCGGAAGAUGUAACGGGGCUAAGUAGUAAACCGAAGCUGCGGCAAUGUGCUUUUGCACAUUGGGUAGGGGAGCGUUCUGUAAGCGGU